ensembl:miRNA
AUGGUCCCUCCCAAUCCAGCCAUUCCUCGGACCAGGUGGCUCCCGAGCCACCCCCAGGCUGUAGGAUGGGGGUGAGAGGUGCUAG